CCCUUAGAUGUCCUGGGCCGCACGCGCGUUACACUGAUGCAUUCAACGAGCUUAUAACCUUGGCCGAGAGGCCUGGGCAAUCUUGUUAACGUGCAUCGUGAUAGGGAUAGAUUAUUGAAAUUAUUAAUCUUGAACGAGGAAUUCCUAGUAAACGCAGAUCAUCAAUCUGCAUUGAUUACGUCCCUGCCCUUUGUACACACCGCCCGUCGCACCUACCGAUUGGAUGGUCCGGUGAAGCCUCGGGAUUGUGGUUCUUGCCGCUUUAGUGUGGCGUGACCGCGAGAACUUGUCUAAACCUUAUCAUCUAGAGGAAGGUGAAGUCGUAACA
rnacentral:rRNA from 1 species